GAGAAUCUGCCACCGGGUAGGAGAUGCAUAGGCAUCCGUUACACAUCGUUAGGUCUUAGAAGAUGUGUAGACGGAUGCUUUUUUAGCG
rnacentral:ncRNA from 1 species